rnacentral:rRNA from 1 species
GAGUUUGAUCCUGGCUCAGAGCGAACGCUGGCGGCGUGCUUAACACAUGCAAGUCGAACGUGAUCCGGAGCUUGCUCCGGUGAAAGUGGCGCACGGGUGAGUAACGCGUGGAUAAUCUGCCCUGGUAUCUGGGAUAACAUCUCGAAAGGGGUGCUAAUACCGGAUAAGCCCACGGGAUCCUCGGAUUCUGCGGGAAAAGGUGGCCUCUAUUUAUAAGCUACCGUAUCAGGAUGGGUCCGCGUACCAUUAGCUAGUUGGUGGGGUAAUGGCCUACCAAGGCGACGAUGGUUAGCUGGUCUGAGAGGAUGAUCAGCCACACUGGAACUGAGACACGGUCCAGACUCCUACGGGAGGCAGCAGUGGGGAAUUUUGCGCAAUGGGGGAAACCCUGACGCAGCAACGCCGCGUGAGUGAUGAAGGCUUUCGGGUCGUAAAGCUCUGUCAGAGGGGAAGAAAUGGGUCGUGCUAAUAUCGCGACUUCUUGACGGUACCCUCAAAGGAAGCACCGGCUAACUCCGUGCCAGCAGCCGCGGUAAUAC